rnacentral:rRNA from 1 species
AAGGAUCAUUAUUGAAACGUCGUAAGACGAAUCACUGUGAAAUGUUUCUUCGGGAACAAUGCUUGGACUACCCUUUUUGGGCGGUCCAACACAAACUCUUAUUAAUUUAUCUGACAACCAAGAAAUUUAAAACUUUCAACAACGGAUCUCUUGGUUCUCGCAUCGAUGAAGAACGCAGCAAAGCGCGAUAGGUAAUGCGAAUUGCACACGUGAGUCAUUGAAUCUUUGAACGCACAUUGCGCUACCAGGUUCUCCUGGUAGCAUGCUUGUUGGAGCGCCGAUCUUCCUUCUUAACCUUUUUGGUGAAAGAGAUCUGCUCCUGUUUUAGGAGUUAAAAAUAUGGACCUGCAUAUGUUAAUUAACUAUGUGCAGUUAAAUCUUUUAUUUUGGCCCCCAAUCAAGCAAGACUACCCGCUGAACUUAA